AUUGAACGCUGGCGGCAGGCCUAACACAUGCAAGUCGAACGGUAACAGGAAACAGCUUGCUGUUUCGCUGACGAGUGGCGGACGGGUGAGUAAUGUCUGGGAAACUGCCUGAUGGAGGGGGAUAACUACUGGAAACGGUAGCUAAUACCGCAUAACGUCGCAAGACCAAAGAGGGGGACCUUCGGGCCUCUUGCCAUCGGAUGUGCCCAGAUGGGGUUAGCUAGUAGGUGGGGUAACGGCUCACCUAGGCGAAGAUCCCUAGCUGGUCUGAGAGGAUGACCAGCCACACUGGAACUGGGACACGGUCCAGACUCCUACGGGAGGCAGCAGUGGGGAAUAUUGCACAAUGGGCGCAAGCCUGAUGCAGCCAUGUCGCGUGUAUGAAGAAGGCCUUCGGGUUGUAAAGUACUUUCAGCGGGGAGGAAGGGAGUAAGUUAAUACCUUUGCUCAUUGACGUUACCCGCAGAAGAAGCACCGGCUAACUCCGUGCCAGCCGCCGCCGUAA
rnacentral:rRNA from 1 species